AUGAUCUGCCUAUUGAGUAGUUCAUACUGCUUACAUCUGAAGCACCUAGAACUGCUGACAGCAGAAUACUGAGAACAGAUCCGAUUCCUGCUCCCAGCUCUUGUUAGGAUCCAACUACUCUCUUAGAGACAGCAGUAUGUGGAAAAACACAGGAGCAGUUCAAGCAGCUUUUUCUUGGAACAAGACCACCUUUAUUGUUGAAGUAUACAUGAAGGGUCAGAUAAUUCAUCUAUUGCAGACGACCAAGAAGCAUUCCUCAAGCAUUUUCUCUCUGGAUAUAUCUCCCUGCAUUCACAAUCCUCUUCUAUAGAAUGAAUUUUAGUUCUGUCCCCUAAUAGGCACCAGGCCUCUCUCUGGGAAGCAGCAGAGGACAACACCUAAAGUCCAGGGAGAAGCAAGAAAACCAGCUUUAUUUGUCCAAGGUGCAGAGGCAAAAGGCUGCAUUUGACCCAGCCACUAUAGAGCCAAAAUAGAUGUUGUCAUCUGGGUUCAAAGGAGUGAUGGACAAUUGCCUUGGCUCAACUGUCCCAGGGCCACGUGCAGCCCAUGUUCAUGCCACCAAAGGCAGCCCUGCUCACAAGGCAGCCUGAAGCACUUGGCUCUGAAGCACAGAUCUCGAUGGCAGUAAUGACAGAGUUGUGCUACUUCACUGGCUACUGCAAUGACUCUGCUGAUACGGGGUAGGAAGUGAGCUUUCUCCUGGUUUCCUGCCCUGCUAAUGCUCGCUGUGAUCCAGAUCCAGCCCUGGCAUCCUGCUGAGCUGGAGAGGUGGAAGGGAACAGAACUGGUGAAGACAAAUCAGAAGAAGAGGUAAAACUCUGAAUUUCUCAGAGAGAUCUUGGAAUCUAUAAGCUGGUUAUCAACAUCAAGAAGAGAUCUUAAGGAGGUUUUAGUGAGGUGUGGGUUGGCCUCUGCUCCCAAGCAACAGUGAUAGGAUGAGAGGUAAUGGUCCCAAGUUGAGCCAUAGGAGGUUCAGGUUGGAUAUUAGGAAAAAUUCCUUCUCAGAAAGAGUGGUGAGGGAUGGGAACAGGCUGGCCAGGGAGGUAGUAAAUUCACCAUCCCUGGAAGUGUUCAAGAAAUGGGGAGAUGGUACUGAGGGGCAUGGUUAGUGGGCAGUAUUGGUGGUAGGUGGAUGGUUGGACUGGAUGUUCUUAGAGUCUUUUACAACUUUAAUGAUUCUGUGAUUCUGUGAUCACUCCCCACCGCCUGGGAGCUGUUCACAUCCAGCACGUACUUUCUUUCCUAAUGAAGAAAGUAAGCACAAAGUCUGGAUAUGAAUCCAAAUGUUUGUGGAGCAUUUGGAUUUCAGAUUUUAGCUUGGAUCUCUUCUUCAUUUGCUCCUUACAUUGCUCUUAAAGCAACUGAGCUGAUUCUGGCACAGCUCAAUAUGGUUCUGCAUUUGAUCUGCUCUGCUCACACCUUGCAGAUCUUCACAGACAAACGCCUGCUCUCCCUCUAAAGACACCUUGCAGGUGAAGCUUGUGCUGAAAUGCAAUUCCUCCAGAGCACUUGAGCAGAACUAGUUUGCAGAAAUGUGUCAGCAGGCAACAUUCACAGCCCUCGCAUUAUCCCAGUGAAUCUCUUCCUGAGCUCUGCCACCGCCUGCAGGAACCAUCCCACCAGAGUUAGCACCCAGCCCUGGCUCUCCCCAUCACAAGGCAGACGGGUGGGCUGCCCUUUUAGUCUUUUCUUGGUGCAGAUCUCUACAGCAAGCAAACAAGCGAAGUUCUUUCUUGAAUAUUCUUCGGUUAAUACAGAGCUGCUUCUCUUACAGAUUCCCGGCCUUUGUGCUUACUGUUUAGCAUCUCUUAAGCUUUAUUUUGCUAUUGCCUGCCCAAACUUCCAAUAGGUUUAGAUCCCUCUGUACCAUUCUUUCUCUGUAUGCAUUCUUUCAGUGGUGCUGCUGCUCUCAUUAUCAUGCAACUUCCUCCUCCUUCAAGAUCUUUAAGGAAAAUAUUCCAUGAAAUUGCAUCUAAUAAAAUCCCAUACAAACUUCUC
ensembl:lncRNA